ACCAUGCAGUCGACGGAAAGGCCCUUCGGGGUACUCGAGUGGCGAACGGGUGAGUAACACGUGGGUGAUCUGCCCUGCACUUUGGGAUAAGCCUGGGAAACUGGGUCUAAUACCGAAUAGGACCACGCGCUUCAUGGUGUGUGGUGGAAAGCUUUUGCGGUGUGGGAUGGGCCCGCGGCCUAUCAGCUUGUUGGUGGGGUAAUGGCCUACCAAGGCGACGACGGGUAGCCGGCCUGAGAGGGUGACCGGCCACACUGGGACUGAGAUACGGCCCAGACUCCUACGGGAGGCAGCAGUGGGGAAUAUUGCACAAUGGGCGCAAGCCUGAUGCAGCGACGCCGCGUGAGGGAUGACGGCCUUCGGGUUGUAAACCUCUUUCAAUAGGGACGAAGCGCGAGUGACGGUACCUAUAGAAGAAGCACCGGCCAACUACGUGCCAGCAGCCGCGGUAAUACGUAGGGUGCGAGCGUUGUCCGGAAUUACUGGGCGUAAAGAGCUCGUAGGUGGUUUGUCGCGUUGUUCGUGAAAACUCACAGCUUAACUGUGGGCGUGCGGGCGAUACGGGCAGACUAGAGUACUGCAGGGGAGACUGGAAUUCCUGGUGUAGCGGUGGAAUGCGCAGAUAUCAGGAGGAACACCGGUGGCGAAGGCGGGUCUCUGGGCAGUAACUGACGCUGAGGAGCGAAAGCGUGGGGAGCGAACAGGAUUAGAUACCCUGGUAGUCCACGCCGUAAACGGUGGGUACUAGGUGUGGGUUCCUUCCUUGGGAUCCGUGCCGUAGCUAACGCAUUAAGUACCCCGCCUGGGGAGUACGGCCGCAAGGCUAAAACUCAAAGGAAUUGACGGGGGCCCGCACAAGCGGCGGAGCAUGUGGAUUAAUUCGAUGCAACGCGAAGAACCUUACCUGGGUUUGACAUGCACAGGACGCCGGCAGAGAUGUCGGUUCCCUUGUGGCCUGUGUGCAGGUGGUGCAUGGCUGUCGUCAGCUCGUGUCGUGAGAUGUUGGGUUAAGUCCCGCAACGAGCGCAACCCUUGUCCUAUGUUGCCAGCGGGUUAUGCCGGGGACUCGUAGGAGACUGCCGGGGUCAACUCGGAGGAAGGUGGGGAUGACGUCAAGUCAUCAUGCCCCUUAUGUCCAGGGCUUCACACAUGCUACAAUGGCCGGUACAAAGGGCUGCGAUGCCGUGAGGUGGAGCGAAUCCUUUCAAAGCCGGUCUCAGUUCGGAUCGGGGUCUGCAACUCGACCCCGUGAAGUCGGAGUCGCUAGUAAUCGCAGAUCAGCAACGCUGCGGUGAAUACGUUCCCGGGCCUUGUACACACCGCCCGUCACGUCAUGAAAGUCGGUAACACCCGAAGCCGGUGGCCUAACCCUUGGUGGAGG
rnacentral:rRNA from 1 species